AAGCAGAUCAGAAAUGCGCAUUUCUGCAGAUCAGAAAUGCAAAUUACAAAUAAAAAUAAAACUUACAUUGGCCAGUCCUACUGGCCAUAAACCUAUCAAAUGCCAAUCUUGCAAAGAACUUCAAUCAUAAAUUUGGCAGGGGUGAACGUGACAGCUGCUAUAGGAUCUUUGGCGGCAAUCCUAAACAUAAUGACUUGGAAGCAAGGUCUCGUUAAGAGACUAGUGUCUGAAUAAACAUGAAUGGGAUCAGAAGUAAAGAUUAAAGCGUGGUUUUUAAAAGGCUGAAUUAAAUCCUGAGGUGCUUAGUCUGAUGUCAACACCACAUGAUUAGCAACAACAUAAAAGUAAGCUGAAGUUUACAAAGAUUUUGCUGCUGCUUUAUCUUGUAGUGCACAUCCCCCCCAAAAAUUAACACAAUUCAGAAAUAGCCCAUACAAGAGAGAACUCACAAGUGAUUGAGAGAAGGGGAGGAAGGACUCUUUUAUUCUUUUGCUUCUCCUUCUAUUUUCCCAGCAAUGAACCAGUCAUUAGAAGUAGCACAGGAUGGGCUCAGAGAAAGCCUGAACUUAAUCCCACCUGUCAAUGGUAGAUUAAUUCUCAAAACAAUCAUUGAGGGGAGGCACGCAGAGGCAGCAUGCUAAAGUAGCACAUUGUUUCUGAGCCAAAUUCUUUCCAUCUCUCCUUCCCUUGUGGUUACUUCAGAGGCGAAGGGACUCUCAAGUACAGUAAUAGCCUUUUCACAGUCUUAUAGAAGGUCUUUGUAUUAUUGGCCGUAGGCUCAACUGUAUGUGAUGCUGGGAAUUCUACAAAUAGUACUCGAAACAUUUAUUUUCCUUUAAAAAUCACCAGGGAAGGAGUUAUUCCAAUCAAGGGUGUGUACCAUUUCCCCGAUGUGAAAUGCCUCUGGGGCAUUGCUGUUCAGGCUGUUGUUGCUCCAGUGGGCAAACCAUAUCUUCCUGGGUCUGACUGUGAAAACAACGGGGGGGGGGGGGAGGUUAAAUCCACUCCUCCCUUGGCACUGCAGCUGGAAUUGUGGGCACAUGAUUUCUUCAAAAAAAUCUAAUGCUAUGUGUACCACUCCCAGAACUCUUAGCAUCACAUGUAUUCGAGCCUUCCUCCCAAGCAGGAAACAAGCAUUGGCUGCCAGUGAUACCCCAUAACAGCAUGAGGAAAGUGUUCAUUUACAUGCUUCUUCAUUCCAAGUGGCUUUUGUGGUUGGGGGACAUUUAGACAUUCCAUUUCAAGAACAGAUAUUCUGUACCUCGGCGGUUGCCAAGCUGCUUGAAUACUGGUACAGGUUAUGACUUGGGUGUGUGUGUCUUUAAGUCGAACUUUCUGCUUCUUGUUCUACAAGUGAAGGGAUUCUUACUGGCAGCCACUGUGACAUGAGGUUUUAAAAGGUUUUUUUUCCUGUGACGAACCAGAUUAUCUUGUUGGAACCUUUGCUGGUUAGUCAUUGCCUUGUUGUGUCUGGAAGUCUUGCCAAAGGUCAUCUUUGUAAAAUAUACAGUAGGGAAUGAACCAGUGACCUUUGCCACUGAAAGCAGAAGUUGAUGCCCCAGAGGCUACAGAACUGAGAAAUGUAGAUGGUGUCUGUAAGGGCUUGUUGCUACAUUACGUUUACGUAACAUGGGGGAGACUUCUGGAUUUUCCUUCAUGACUUAAUCUUCCCACAUUACAUUUUGAGAGGAUAUUUAAACUCUGGACUGAGGUAACAACGUGACUAGGUAAAAUACUACCUGUAUUUUCCACCUGAAUGUACUCCCAUUAUGCUAGAACUCGGUGUUGUAUAAAACUUCAUUUUCAGGUGUAAUUGAGAGAGAACUUGCAUUCAUGAUCUAAACUACUUUAUGGUGAAUAUAUAAUACUUUUGAAAAAAACCCACUGCCUUAACAUUAAUUUUGUUUCGUUAAAUAUUGCAGUGUUAAAGCAACUCAUUUUGUUCUUACUUGUGAGUGUUCUGAAAUCAUUGAAACUCUCUUGCUAUGUUAAAUAUUUCUAUGCCAAUGCUUUGCUUUUCAAUAAAUAUUUCUGAUGAAA